rnacentral:tRNA from 1 species
GGGGAGUUUGCUCAGUAGGUAGAGCACAGGACUUGCAUCCCUAAGGCCCUGGGUUCCAUCCCUGACACCAUA